rnacentral:rRNA from 1 species
CUGANUNACAGCAGNCGCGGUAAUACAGAGGGUGCAAGCGUUGUUCGGAAUUAUNGGGCGUAUAGGGCGCGUAGGCGGUGCUGUAAGUCUGUGGUGAAAUCUCUGGGCUCAACUCAGAGUCUGCCAUAGGAAACUGCAGUGCUGGAGUGUGGGAGAGGUGAGUGGAAUUCCCGGNGUAGCGG